ACCACAUUCAGCAAUGGAUGUCUUGGCUUGAGCAAUGAUGAAGGGCGCAGCGAACUGUGAUAUGCACUGUGAAUUGCAAAAUUCCGUGAGUCAAUAGAGACUUGAACGUGCAGUGUGCUUCUGGGACAUUCCUGAAAGUAUGCCUGCUUCAGUGUUUGC
rnacentral:rRNA from 1 species